CGCCUCCCCCGCCCUGCUCGGGGUCUCCUUCCGGCCGGCGCGCCCGGGACGUGACCUCGCGGGCACGCGCCGGAGCCACCUUGGCGGAGGUGCCCGCGGCCCCCGCACAGUUCCAGGAGAAUGUCUCUGGAAAGGAAGCCCAACGCCCGGUCUGGCUGGGAAGAGGCAAAAAAGGGGAGGGGAGCAGGAGUGGAGGCCGGGCGGGCCUGGGGAGGAAGUCUGCAGCCCGGGCUGCCGAGGGUGUGGUGUCUGUGUUUGCACCUUUGGAAUGCAGCUGAUUCACUCCGGGGAGCCCUCUGCAGCCACUGCUGCUGCCUUGGAUCUGACAUCUGGAGGCUGAAUUCCAGGAGGAGAGAGACGGAUUCCUGCAAGCAGAUGCCAACUUUGAAGGUCAAACUGAGCGAUGGAGCUGCUUUCGCAGGAGGCCCAGAGCAUCCAACACUGCCCCACCCCAGGAUUCUGGGAGAGAAUCACACACAUCGUGGCCUUCCGUGUCUGGCUUCUCUCACUGAGCAUCGUGUCUUCGAGGUUCCUCCGUGCUAUGGCAGUUCAGGUCGUGAUCUCAGGGUUAUGAGAUCGAGCCCCAC